ACCCCACGUUCGUGGCACCGCAGCUCAAGCUGCGUAGCUGCAGGCUGUAACACCAGCCGGCCGCUGCUGGCGGGAGCAGCUCCAAGCCUUCCUCUGGCUCCAAGGAAGGGGAAUGAACAGUAUUGGAGGAAAGUAAAAGUGACACUCUCCUUCAGAGAUGGCCUCACCUGGUGCGUGAAAUGAUCUUAGAUGCUUUCUGCAUCUUAAAAUGUGUAAGCACUCUUGCAUUCUUCAGGAAGAAAGACCUUCUCCAAAGACAAGGCCUCUGCUCCCAUUCUUGAUCUUUACCCUGCAUUUUCAAUCAGCAAACAACAAAAUGCAGUCACUGACUGACUAUGGGAAUUAACAACAUUCCAAGGUGAAAUACUUGACUGCUACUUCAUUGAAAAUUCAGAAUUCAGAGGACUAUGACUCUGUGCAUCUCCUGCUUCUGUCUAAACUUGUACCAGAGUCCCAAGUCAUCGCAUUUUGGCUUCUUGAAAUCCCCCACAGUGUCUCACUUUAGGCACAGGCUGAUACAUUCCAGGUCUGCCUGGCAGAUUGGGGCAGGGAUCUUGUGGAGAACAUCCCACAGCAGUGAAAAGAAAUAGCAUGCACGCCUUAUCCAGCAGCUCCAUGGCUGGGGCACGCAUCUGAAAUGCUGGAAAUCCCAGAUCAGCUUUCUAUUUAGCAGGGUGCUGGAGUUACACUUGGAUGUGGUCACAGGCUGGUCAGAGCACAUGGGAAAGCUGGAAGUGAAUGGCCUCACAUCUCCAUUUCCCUGCUGCAAUAAAAAGCUGGAAUACUGUUGCCUUUUAGGUGCACACAGCAAUCAAAUAAGGAUUGAGACAGAAAGGGCAUGAAAAACUAGAGGUACUGACAAUUACCCAGAAGAGGAGAGGCAUAUAUAUCUGUGGGGGGAUUUGCAUCUUGCUUAUCCUCUGUGCACUCUGUAGCCCAAUUUGCCUUCGCAAUAGAUAUGUCAAAGCAUUUGCAUUCAGGCAGUAAAAUUUUCUUCUCUGACAGACCAGCUGACCUCCCAGAGCAGGGUUGUGCUAUGUCAGACACGUGGCACACUGAGAACACAUUCUCACAUGACAUUCUCAUAAACAGACUAAGGCAGCAGAAUCUAGAUGAAAUCAUCAUUAGCUGAGUACACCACCAGCUGAAAACUGUCCAAAGGUCAGGUGUCAAUUGGUUUGCUGAAACAGAAGGAAAUUUCAAGAGAAAGCUGUCCUCAGCUUAACUGUAAUAUAUCUCUUGGCUAUUGAUAUAAGAGUAGAACAAAGAUGGUCUAUUAACAUUUGCAGAUGAAGCUGUGCAGGGAAGGGUGGCAGUACUUUGAUGUAGAUAACCAGAAUAUUCAGGCAUUUAAUAAAUGGUCUGAAAUUCACCACUUGACAUUCAGUCCAGGUCCAAAACAUUGCAUUUCAGAGAAAUUGGGUGGUCAAAUAUGAAACAGGAGAGUAACCAGCCAAGCAGCAGAAAGAUGCAGGAGUGUCUGACACCUAAAUGGGAGUACCAACAUGGUGAUGCUACUGUGAGGGCAGAUCUCUCAGUGACGAAAAAAAUGAGAGUUUAGUCCAGGAAGGAAAGGAAAAGGGUAUGUGGAGGAAAGAGACCUAAGCCUUGAGGAUAGCCUUGGCCCUGCCUCCAAAAAAAGAUGUAAACUCUUAUGACCCCUAUGCCCUUACAUGUCUUUUCUACAUAAAGGCUUCCUUAUCUAAUCCCUAUCUAAUCUGAGGUAAAUUGAGGUAAAAUGAGAGAAUAUAAAAAUAGAAUAAAUAAUGACAAAUGAAUUUGGCUUUUAGGAUUAAUGGAUUAAUAAUAUUCUUGUUUAAUCAUCUAAUUGUAACUUUCACUAUAGGUGGGAAACCAUUUACAGGGACAGAGCUUAUCUCCCACCUGUGACUAAUCAACUGGCAGAAACUCAAGUGUCAGCCCCCCAUGUGAAAUCUGGGUGGGGAAGACCUUUAAAAAGGGACUUUACACUGUGCAUCUAUGGGGAGGGAAUGACUUGAAUAUCCCCAUUUUUGUUUAUGGCAUGUGUUAUGGCUAAUUUGCCUGCAUCAUUCCACUUCUGUGUAAAUGUAAAAUGAUGAGAAGGUGGGCCUAGAAAUUUUAAAUUGUUGGGGUCCACAUAAAACAACAUUUAAAGACACAGUCAGGGACUCUCUGCAUGCUAGACUGGGAAUUCAGGGAACUAUAAUUAUUAACGUGCCACUAGUCAUAAAUAAAUAUUAAAUAGUCAUAAAAGCAAUCCUGAUGUUAGCCCCUGAUGUUUUUGUUAUUAUCCCUCAAAGGAGCUAUUAAGUAUUACAGAUCUUCUGGCUGAGCAGGGAAGAAAUGUCUUAUUCCAAAGCUGGAGAGGCUUUAAGGAAGAUGAAGCAGCUCAGAAAACAGAGAAGUAGUUUAAUUGUGAUGGGCCCAGAGCCGCAGCCAAAGUCACCUGGACAGUUUAUCAUGAGGGCAGAUACUGAGGCUAGAGACUGAUUUUUAGGUCUUGAUAUCUGCCUACUGAGCCCACUUCUCUAGGAGAAAUACAUGCACAGUAAAUAUCUCUGUGAAUCUGCAGUACCAAGUCCCAGGCAGUGCACUAAUGCAGCCCUGCAUUUUCUGGUGUUUUCACUUAUCUUGUACGUGUGACACCUUUCAAGUUGCAUCUUUUUUCAGCUUUCUGAGUGCAGUUUUCUUUUAAGAACUAUUCCUUGUGAAAAUGGCACCUGCUCUGAGCUCUACCUGCUGCUUGUAGUGCCAAAGCAUUUCCAGUUUUCCUGUCCCACCACCUCUCCAAAUGUGGGUAGAAGAAUUUCUGUUUGCUUGUCUCUGACCCAUGAGCCAUUCCCAGUAGUUUAUUGCCUUAUAAACUAAUGAGAGACAGUGGUCAGUAGUAGCACCUCAUUUGGAAAAACCAGGUGGUUUACUAUCAUGGCAUGUUGAAGGCAGAAGGUGGGCCAAAAAUCAAAAUCUUCCUUUACAUGCAAUAGAUGCAUCUUUCCCCUCUGCCACAUUAAUAAAUAUAUGGAAAUUGAAUGAGAAUACGUGUGUACACUUCAGGAGAGAGUUUUUCCCUCAGGUUAAAGAUGUACUUCAGUAGUUAGGUGUGGGUCCCUCUUGCUUAUGCAGGGGAGAAUGUCAGAGUCCAGUAAAAUUAGUGGAUUUAGUUCCAUGAACUUUAAUGAGAUUUUGUCAGUCUCAAUAACAUGAUGUAUUGUUUCUGUCAAGUAAAAGCCAGAAUCUGAUAACAGGUUCAGAGUAUAGUUGCAGGCCAGUUUUUAACACUCUUCUCUAGUUACAUUAAGUAUAUAGAGUUACCCUAAGCAGAGUAACUUAUUAUUCCAUCUUGUUGAAUGUGUUUAUUUAUGAGUACAGAAAGAGAGAUGUCUUGGCACCUGUCAUUGUUACAGACAGAGGGGCAGAAUUAUUUUACAUUGACUGAUGCUGGCAGAAGUUCCUGUUCAGAUUUUCAGUUGGUCUCCAUGGCUAGCUCUCUCCACUGGAUGUUAUGUAGCUAUGGUGCCCAGCUGUGCUCUCAUUUAAGAACAAAUCACUUUCUAAUAAUUUAUUAGUAUUUUUGUACACUAUUCUGUAUUAGAACUUCUAUUUAUAGAUUUUGUGAUAUACUCCAAAGAUUCAAGAAAUCCAUCAGAAAGAAGAAUUUGAUUCUGCAAUGUGGAGUAUGCUCGUGCAACCUGCUGCUUUCAUUUACAUCAUAUGAGUUACGGUCCGAGCUUGACCUCAAAUUGGCCUUGUUGCUGGAUAGGUGAAAAGGAUUUUUGUUUAAAAUACAAUAAUUUUUAAUUUAUUAAGUGUCUAAAUUUAAGUUAAAAGUAAACCUAUUGCCGUUCUAGUAUUGCUGUUUGUAAAUAUCAAGUGAUUGCCUGAGGGCAUACAAACUUUGUGAUGUAAGCAAACUGGACCCAGCAGCAGCUCUUAUAGUCAAAGAAACUAAACUACAUAAAUUGGAUUUUCAUUUACAUAAAUUGGUUACAAUUACCUGCUAAGCAAGGAGUUUAUACUUCAGGGAUGACAUUUCCCCCUCUUUUUCCUGCCAAUGCAUCUGUGUGAGUUUUUCAGGUUUUUAGUAUUUUACCUGUUUGUCACUGAAUAGGACAGAGGGAAGAUAACUUGACUAUCUCCCUUCUCUUAUUUCACAAGUUCCCUUGAAGAAGAAAGCAGCAAAUUUUAGCAAAACUAAACCUCUAGAGAGUAAAUUUCAGAAUGCCUGUUUACAUUUUUUUUCUAACACAUGUUUAUGGUGUAGCACUUUGUUCAACCCUUCUGACUCAGAAGCGGGAGUGGGCCCAAGAGUCUUCUAACUUGGAAAAUUCAAGUCUCUGGACAUUUUAUAAAGAGCCAGAUUACAUCAAUCUGAGUGUUUUCCACAAGGAAAUCAGCUCUGGCAAUAGCGUUCUUGCAGUGUCCAGAGAAGAUUUCAGAGGGGUUGUGGAAGACAUCUUAAAUCUUUCUGCGUUCUGGUGGCAGAGAGAGUGAGAAGAUUUAGGUCUCACUGUUUCAUGCAGUGAAACCAAAAGGGAUUUCAAUCACUUUGUGUGAGAGGCAAGAGGAAAUAGAGAACAAAACUUACCCCAAAGCCACAUGAUGUGACCACAUUUCCACGUCAAGGAGCAGGCUUUAGUAGCCAGCGUGUGAGUGUUUGUGGCAGGCACAGGAUUGCACAGGGCUGCUGCUGUGGCUCCUCCUCACUUUUCCAGCACAGCAGUAGAACAAGAGU